UUGGCCUGUUCCAAGCCUUGGUGGUGCCACAGGGUCACAGCUCUAAGGAGGGUCAAACUCUCCCUCUCUUUUAAUGACCUACUUUGGCCGGUGCUGAGAAUCAAACCAAGAGCUGCCCUCUUCAGCAGGCACUUGUCCUAGACUAUUUGGCCAUGGCUGAUGAGUGCCCCUGUCUGGGCAUCAGAGGAAAGACCAAUGCUCCGUGGUACCAAGAGAAGGUGCUGUCCAGGAGCUCCUGAGGGAAGACGGAGGUGCCACCAGUAGAACCCGUAGAGCCUGGAUAGCAGCUGCAAUGACCCCAUCUACUCUGUCAUCCAAAGAGAAGCGCAGCAG